ACGGCUCAGUAACACGUGGACAACUUGUCCUUUGGACCGGGAUAACCCCUGGGAAACUGGGGCUAAUACCGGAUAGAGCAUUGAUAGCUGGAACGCGCGAUGCUCGAAAGCUGAGGCGCCAAAGGGUAGGUCUGCGGCCGAUUAGGUUGUUGUUGAUGUAAUGGAUCAACAAGCCUUCGAUCGGUAUGGGUUGUGAGAGCAAUAUCCCAGAGAUGGGUUCUGAGAAAAGAACCCAGGUCCUACGGGGCGCAGCAGGCGCGAAAACUUUACAAUGUGCGAAAGCACGAUAAGGGAACUCUGAGUUCCUCCAAAGGAGGCUGUUCAGGUGUCUAAAAAGCAUCUGAAGUAAGGGCUGGGUAAGACCGGUGCCAGCAGCCGCGGUAACACCGGCAGCCCAAGUGGUGGCCACUUUUACUGGGUCUAAAGCGUUCGUAGCCGGCCAGGUAAGUUCCUUGGGAAAUUUGACCGCUUAACGGUUAAGCUUCCAGGGAAUACUGCUUGGCUUGGGACCGGGAGAGGUCAGAGGUACCUCAAGGGUAGGGGUGAAAUCCGUUAAUCCUUGGGGGACCGCCAGUAGCGAAGGCGUCUGACCAGACCGGAUCCGACGGUGAGGGACGAAGGCUAGGGUAGCGAACCGGAUUAGAUACCCGGGUAGUCCUAGCUGUAAACGAUGCGGGCUAGGUGUUGGCAUUACUGCGAGUGAUGCCAGUGCCGAAGGGAAGCCGUUAAGCCCGCCAUCUGGGGAGUACGGUCGCAAGGCUGAAACUUAAAGGAAUUGGCGGGGGAGCACUACAACGGGUGGAGCCUGCGGUUCAAUUGGAUUCAACGCCGGAA
rnacentral:rRNA from 1 species